GUUACACCCUUAGGAAAGACAGAUUUCAAGCUGUCAAUCAUGAACAGACUGACCCAGAGACAACAAUAAGUGGACUCUGUUUAUUGUUUGUUUCUUUGAACAAACAAACAAACAGUCAAUCAUGUGAAAAUCAUGUUUGUUUACAGGCUGAAUUUACAACAACUGAGACGUCAAAAUCAAACCAGCUGGACAUUUACUGUCCAAAAGUGUGUGAUUGAGUGUUUGUGUCCAAAGGAGGAGACUCUCUGUCCUCCAGUCCACACAGAGACACUGAAGAACCAGAAUCAGGCCAGAACCUGAACCCAGCACACAGAGGUUCAGUGAAUGUGCAGCAGAAGGUGUGGAUGUGGACA